rnacentral:rRNA from 1 species
AUGGGCACGGGAGAGGACGACGACGCGACGACGGCAGAACAAGGCGGAGAGGAUGAUGAGCAGACGCGGGACGCAGGAGGAGGAGGGGUGAUGGCGAGCCUGGUGGGCAAGGCCAAGGGGUUCGUGACGGAGAAGAUCGCGCAGAUGCCCAAACCCGAGGCUUCGCUAGAGCGGGUCUCGUUCAAGAGCAUCAGCCGCGAGGGCGUGGCGCUCCACAGCCACGUCGACGUCAGCAACCCCUACUCGUACCGCAUCCCCAUCUGCGAGCUCACCUACACGUUCAAGAGCGACGGAAACGUCAUAGCAUCAGGCACGAUGCCUGACCCCGGGUGGAUCGGCGCGAGCGGCACCACCAAGCUGGAGCUGCCAGUGAAUGUGCCCUACGACUUCGUCAUGUCACUGAUGAAAGAUCUGAGCGGGGACUGGGACAUCGACUACGUGUUGGAGGUCGGGAUCACCAUCGACCUCCCCGUCAUCGGCACCUUCACCAUCCCGGUCAGCACCGAGGGGGAGAUGAAGCUCCCCACGUUUCGGGAUUUGUUCUGA